GCUUGUGUGUGUCUGUGUAAAGACAUUAGAAACAUACCAGCACUGAGUCCUGUGAUUGAACAGGAGGAACGUAUCACCCAAGGCCUCUAUUCCAAACCUACUAGGAUACAGAAUGAAGUAGGCCAGGAACCUUAUGAAAGGCCCUAUUAAAAAAAAAAAAUAGGGAUGAAAUCACAGACUGAGGAAUAUACAAGGAGAGCUUGACAAAAGAAUCAGGAGAAAUGUCAGAGUCAGCAUGUACUUUGCUGCAACAACAUCACAUAGGGUUCAUUUUAACCAAUGCCACUUCCCUGCAGGCUUUUGUGCUCUGAGAUGGAGAACAGGAUCGGGGCAUUCCAAUUAUCUAGAUAUGCUUUGACUUACUUUCCUACUUACACCAGCCAUUGAUGAAUCUAAAUCCAAAUGAAGAAGAUUCAAAUUCUAGAAUCAUUUAGCAGGACAUUUUACCUAGAAAUAGAAGGAAAAAUAUCAUCCCUACGACUUUGUAUGACUUUGUUGUAUCUCCCACAAAUCACAUUGUGGAAUUUUUACUGUAUCGAAAGAUUGUUGAAAUUGAUCUUGAAGAUGGCUGCUUCCUGCCUUAACUGAUGGCAUUCCACCACAAAAGAAGUGAAAUUUGGUACCAUGACUCAGAUCGGGGAACCUCUCUUGGGAGAUCAAUCCCCUGUCCUCCUGCUCUUUGCUCCAUGGAAAAGAUCCACCUACGACCUCGGGUCCUCAGACCCACCAGCCCAAGGAACAUCUCACCAAUUUUAAAUCGGGUAAGUGGCCUCUUCUUACUCUCUUCUCCAACCUCUCUCACUAUCCCUCAACUACUUUCUCCUUUCAAUUUUGGCACCACCCUUCAAUCUCUCCCUUCUCUUAAUUUCAAUUCCUUUCAUUUUCUGGUAGAGACAAAGGAGACACGUUUU
rnacentral:lncRNA from 10 species